CACCCGUAGCUCAGCUGGAUAGAGCGCUGCCCUCCGAAGGCAGAGGUCAGAGGUUCGAAUCCUCUUGGGUGCGCCA
rnacentral:tRNA from 1 species